rnacentral:lncRNA from 1 species
UAGAAUUAAUCUGGAGAAAGCCUAUAUAAAAGCCUUUGCCCACACAAUUCAGAAUAUCAAUAAAGAAGCUUUUGCUUAUAUUAGCUCUGCUAAUUUUCAAGUUCUUGAGGUGUCUUUAAGCCAGGAGCUUUAAAUUACUUCAUUGAGUGGAGAAUCAUGAAUCGACUUAUUAGGUAAGUUUGUGGCAUCUUUCUCUAUUCUUUUUAUUUUCUUAGUUACUUAGAUAAGCUUUCGCUUAGUUGAUUGUGAUUUUAAUAGGGAACCUUUGUUCUUCUUUUCCUUCUUCUCCUUUUUAUUAUCCUUCUCUUCUUCUUCUCUCAUUCUUCUUGAUGUGAAAAUAAUUGAGGAAAAGACCUGCAAUAAUUCGGAGGUCCAAGAGACUCCUAAAAGAAGGAAAAGGCUAAUCGAAGAUUAGCUUUCGGGACAUGUUCGUAAGUGUUCCUGAACAAAUAGUGACCAGGCUGAGCCUAACCAAGUACAAGUUCUAAACUACAAAUCAAAGUUGAGUACACCAGAGAAUCGGUCUAAGAAGAGAAAAAAAUCAGAAAAUAUGAGAAAAUAGGAAGUUAUUGGGCUUUCUGGCCAAAUAGAGGCUUGACCCAUCAAUCUUGGACUAGAGAGAAGCUUAAAAGGUGGUGUAGGCAUGGAUACUUUUAGCUUACAUGUGUGUGUGUCUUCAUAUGUAUAACACAUGGUUUCCACAUGUGCAAGCACCCAAUUUGCAUAGACCUACACCAUGGAUAUGUGGGUAGCAAUGGUCGCACGUACCAUAGUAUGCGCAAAGGCGUGCAAGACGCUGACCACACACAUAGCCUGUGGGCAUGUGCAACCAAGGCAGCCUACUCACCUAGUGCUUACUGAUAGGCGCGCGACAACGUAUAUGUGCGCAUAUGAUAGGUCGCAUGCCCAGCAACCCGCACGCAUGCGACCCAUGCCUAUGAAGCAAACUCGUGUGGCCCACCUACCCCAUCCUGCAACCUACAGCCUGACCUUUGCAGCCAGCAGCCAACCUGUGUGGCCCCUUCUUCAUAGUCCUUUUUGGACACCUUUUUCCACUUUUCAUAAUUCUACAAGGUGUGCAAGCUUCCACAAUUAUCCCAUGUGCAAAAUAUGCUAAAAUUAAAAGAGGAAUUAUACUCAGAAUAGAAGAAAAAAGAUCACUGAAGAUUUAGGAGAAGGAAACUAUUAAUUAUUAAUAGUUUAAUGUGAAACCAUAUCCAUAGGAUUAUGCAAUUAUUAUUUUAGGAUAAAGAUAAGGAUUUUUAUUAUUUUAAUAAUUAUAUAUUUAUUUUUUAAUUAAUUUAGGAAUUAUAAUAUGGAGAGGAAUCCUAAAUCUUAUUCCAUGUAUAAUUAGAAAUUAAGAGCCUAUAUAAAGGCCAUAACUCAAGCACUAUAAUCAAACCUUGAGAAUGAAUAAAAAUUAAGCUUUGAUCUUUUCAUCUAAAUUAGCUUAGUGUUAAUUUUAUUCUGCUCAAGUUCUUCGAAACUAGGUGAGAUAUCCCGAGUUGUGAAUAAGCGGAGGAGUUGGGAUUUACUUAUUGGUUAAGUCCAUGACGUCGUUCUUUUUCACGCUUUUAUUUCUAUAAUUUUUGUUUUUGCAUUCCUAAUUUUAGAAUUGUAGGUUUAAUUAAAGGAGGGGUUUAAUUAGGCGAUUGAGUUUUAAUAUUGCAUGUGAUUAGGUUGAGGUUUUGGGAGUCAAAACGAUCCUUUCCAUACCUUCUGACAUCACUUUUUUUUCUUCUUCUUCCUCUUCUUCUUCUUCUUCUUCUUCGUCUUCUUCUUCCUCUUAUUCUUCCUCUUUUUCUUUUUCCACUUAUUAUUAUUAUUCUUCUUCUUCUCUCUUUUUUUCUUCUUCUUAUUCUUCCUAUUAUAUUCAUCAUCAUCAUCAUCAUCAUCAUCAUCUUCUUCUUCUUUUUCUUCUUAUUUUUCUUCAUUUCCUCUUAUUUUUCUUCUUUUUCUUCCUCUUCUUCAUCUCUUUUUUCUUCUUCUUUUUUGUCUUCUUUUUCUUCGUAUGCUUCUUCUUCGUCUUCUUCUUACUCUUCGUCUCUCUCUUUUCUUUUAUCUCUCUAUCUAUUUUCUCUCUAUCCAUUUUUCUAUGUUUUCUCGGCCAUUGGAUUUAAAAUGGGCAUUUUGUUUUUCAUUUCAAUGAAAAAAUGAAUCAUAACUAUCCGAUCUUGCCUCAUUGAAUCGUGACUGUCAUAUCUAAGGUUUCAUUUUGGUCUUUUUAUCCUUCUUUUAGUCGUGAUCGUUAGAUUGCUCAUCAUGCAAUCUAGGCCAUUUAUCUGGUCUUUUAAUUUGAGCCAUCCAUUGAAUUUAGGCGGGAAACAAUAUGGGCUGUUCAUUUGAUUUUUGAGCGGGAAGAAAUCUGAAGUGUUUAAUUUGUUUUUGCAGGAGGCAACUGUGAUCAUUCAUUAGAUUUUUGAGCUAUAGAUGAUCUUCAUCAUUCAUUUAAGUGGGAGAGCAUCUCAGCCGUCUAUCCCGAUCUCGUCAAUGUGUCAGCAUGGCCAAAUAGACCGCCUUAAUUAGUUCAGUUUGACACCUCACUUGCUAAGGUAUCAAACUAUCAAAAUUUCUAUUUUGGUCCUUUGUUUGAAUUUUCCUUUCGUUUAGGCCCUUAAGCCCCUUUUUAAUUAGCAAAAGGUCGGUAAAUUUUUUGAUUUCAUUCAAUUGGGUCCCUAAACCCCUAAUUUUUUUUAGGGUUUAAAUUUUUCUUAGGUUUAUUCAUCAAUAAAUUUAUCAUAAUUAAACCUGAUUUCUUAAAAUUAAUUUCUGAUUUGCAUAAUAAUCUACAAGUUAAUUUAGAAAAUCGAUAUUGAAGUUGAAACAAAAAUUCUAUAUUUAUUAUUCUUUUAUAUUUCAAUAUUUAAUUUCUUCUGAUAUUCUUCAUUUUCCUAAAUUUUUGUACAAAUUUUAUAAUUAAAGUUACGUGUCGUAUUUUGUGAGGUGUUACAAUAUCGGUUUGUUUACUAAAAAAAGACAUUGUGAGAAACCUGCAAGAAAGGUUAAUAAUGAAAAUAACACUUCCUCAUGUGUUUCACUCUUACUCAUAAGUCCUUUUACCUCUCAAUCUCUUUCCUUCAUAUUGAAUACGAGAAUUGAAUAUCCUUGAAUUAAGGUAAGCUUUGUUUUAAGAUACAUAAAGGAAUCCUAGGAAAAAAAGUUGUUGAGCAAUUUUAGAUGCGAUAGAAUUUAAUCACACAGAUAAAGAUGGUGUGUGUUUAUGUAUGAUGCUAAAUAACUAAGAUGCAAUUAGCUAUUUAGUGAUGUAAUAGAACAGAAGCACAAUGAAAGAACAAAACCUACAGUACAAAAAAAGACACUAUGGGUAUGAUCCUUUUUGUUUUUGUUAUUGUAUGAUGAAUAUGAAUAGAAAGGUGGAUGCAAAGUACUCUAUUUUUUUUUACUUAAAAAGAUAAAUAUGAAAGAAUAAAAUAUGCAAGAUAGUAUGAUCUAUUUUAUAAUAACCCAGACUUGAGGAGAGUCAUCAACAUCCAUUUAUUUUUCACAAUGGUAAAUCUCAAUUCCUAAGAGUAUGCACUAUAUAAUCUCUUACUUGUUAAUAAAAUCAUUUCUUAUGUAUAAAUUUAAAACGUUAGAAUCAUUGAUAAUUGAAACAAAUGUUCAUUUAUCUCUAACUGUUAAAUAAUAAUUCAAAAUUCAUAAUAAUGAGUCAACAGAUGUAAUCUUCAUCAAGGGUCACGUAAUUUGUUUUCGACCUUUCACUAUUUUGAGUUAUCUUGUUUUCAAUUCUUGGUCCUCCUAUUUUGAAAAGAAUGAAUUGGAAUGAACUACAUAUGCUUAGUAAGAAUAAUUAAAACCUAACCUAUAGAAUUAGCUGAACACAUAUGAAUUUCUUUUAUGUCCCAUCCCAAUACCAAUUGUACAUAUGUGUUUAUAGGGAGUUUACCCAAUACCAAUACCAAGACCUGCGCGCGUCCUGUUGCGCGCAGGCGGGUUGUCCACACGUCACCUCGCCUGUGGACAGGCGCUGCGCAUUAUGCGCGUGCUGUCCGUGCAGCAGACCUGUGCGAAUAGUCCUAUACGGCUGGGGCCUGUGCACCUGUUGGCUAACCUGUAACGUACCGACCAGGGCACUGCCACCUCAGGCUGUGCGCCACUGCUACCUUGGGUGGCGCGUUCGCAACCGCCGGUGGAGGAUGCCCUAUUCCUUCAUUUUUUAUGCUGAACAUCUUUUCUCCUCUCUCUUCAUCGGAUUUUGCCCCUUGGUGUGAAUUCGAUGGUUCUAAAACUCUAUAAAUUGCCAUCCCCCUUCCUUUCCUCUCCACACUUCCAUUUUUUUAUUUUUUAAAGGUUUAGAGAGAGAGAGAAAUAGUAGUCUAGUGAGAGAAGAAGAAAAAGAAAGGAGAACGGUGAAGGAGAAAACAUCAAGGUUUCAGUAAGGAAUCUAGUAUUUCUUUUAACGUCUUAUGGAAUAUUUUUAGAUAAGCUAAUUUAAUAUGAUUGUGAUUUUGUCUAUUUUGUAUGCCUCUAUGUAUAGAUGAGUCGAAUUUUUCUUAUUUUUAAGCAUACUAUAUGAAUUGCAGACACUUGAUGAAUUUGCAUGUAAUAAAUAUUAUAUGUAAUCGGCAAAAGUAAAAAGUAUAAAAGAAAAGAAAAAGAAAAAAGUAGAAUGAAGCCUGUAUGGUCCGAAGUGUAUCUGUAUUGACAUGCAUAUUGCAUCAAGUGUCUCGUUAGGCUUUUUAUCUCUGAUGGGCAUCUGUUCCCCUUGCCUUUCGGGGUAUCUGUUUCUCCCUUCCCUAUCUGGUUUGGAAAGACAUAAGAGAACCACCCUAGUGGAUGAUGACGUACCCUUUGACGAGAGUGGUAUCGCACUAUCUGUAGGGGUCACCCGUGACUAAGUAAUGUUGUGACUAUAAAUAUCUCUUAGGGCCACUAUGGCUCAUAUGAUCGUGGUCAUAGAUCGUACCAUAGUUUGACCAGCCAGAAAUGGGUCUGAGCAAAUUACCAUAUCUGUAUCUAAUUUAGUCAUUCUACUUGAGUAGUUAAAAAUUUAUAUCUGUCCUCAGAGAUGGAAGUUGUAACAACUUCACGAAGUAUGAUACGAAAAUCUGAGCAUUUCAUGAUUUAUUGGAUUUUCUCUAUAAUCUGGCAUGAUGUAUGUUUGGUUGUCUGUAUUAAUGUAUUAUUUUCUUAACAAAUAAAUAGUUUUCCAUAAUGUGAGAUAAGUAAGCAAGAAAGUUAAAUGGUAAGAUAAAAUAACUUUUGAAAUCUUACGAUGUUAAUUUAAUACUGUUUUUCUUACUGAGAAUAUGGAACUCACUCUUUCUAUGCCCCCCCAGAUGAGGAAGAAAGUGAGGAACCAUAGACUGACCUACCUUUGGAAGUUUAUGAGGAUCCCUUGGAUCUACAAGUCUGAGUGCAUGACUGUUUCCGCACUCUGAUGAGUCCAAUAGCAUAGUGAAAGAAGUGGCCCUUAUAUUUUGUUUUGUACUUUGCAGCCACUUCUGGCCUCAGUAUAUAUAUGUAUUAGAACUCAUAUGUAUUUGUAAGGGAUUUGUAAUGAUUUGAUUCCGCUGCAUAAAUUUUAUCAUGCACUCGUUAUUCUGAAUCUAUAUUUGACACCCA